ACUAACAUCUUUGUUAUUUUUAUCAUGAACUACGAGGUUUUUAUCCUCCAUUGCGCUUUGUUGGUAUGUAGGCAUGAGACUCAGAAAAUCUUGGCAAACACAAAAUCAUAAAUAAACAUUUCUCUUCCCAUCUCCCCAAUCUUUUUCAAACAACACCAUUUUAAGCCAAAAUGCACAGAUUUUCAAAGAGGUUCCUAUAGAGUACUAUAGAUGUUUAGGGUGCUAAUACAUUCCCUUUGCAUAACUAACCCCCAAAC
rnacentral:lncRNA from 1 species